AACGAACGCUGGCGGCAUGCCUAACACAUGCAAGUCGAACGAGACCUUCGGGUCUAGUGGCGCACGGGGGCGUAACGCGUGGGAACCUGCCCUUAGGUUCGGAAUAACUCACCGAAAGGGGUGCUAAUACCGGUUGAUGUCUUCGGACCAAAGAUUUAUCGCCUUUGGGUGGGCCCGCGUUGGAUUAGCUGGUUGGUAGGGUAAAAGCCUACCAAGGCGACGAUCCAUAGCUGGUCUGAGAGGCUGCUCAGCCACGCUGGGACUGAGACACGGCCCAGACGCCUACGGGACGCAGCAGUGGGUAAUAUUGGACAAUGGGCGCAAGCGUGAUCCAGCAAUGCCGCGUGAGUGAUGAAGGCCUUAGGGUUGUAAAGCCCUUUUACCCGGGAUGAUAAUGACGGUACCGGGAGAAUAAGCUCCGGCUAACUCCGUG
rnacentral:rRNA from 1 species